rnacentral:misc_RNA from 1 species
ACGUAUCUCUGGCGGGUGCUGGCUCGCCCUGCUCCGGCCUCUGGGCCGUGCAGCGGGCAAACCGGUCCCGUCCAAACUUCACAAACCCACCGUGCACUUUCACGGCCGAGGGCCACGGUGCGAGAGUGCCGUCGGCCCGGUGCCGCUUCACAAACCUCCAACUUGCAUCGAAUGUGUUGCGACCUGAUUGUCGCCUAAGCAAACAGAA